CUGUAAGUCAGAAAACCAACACUAGUUUCGCUAAGCUAAAAUCAAGGUAUCAGUAGGACCACAUUACUUCUAGAGGCUCACAGGGAGAAUCUGUGUUCUUGCCUUUUUCAGCUUCUAGAGGUUGCUGGCAUUCUUUGGCUUAUGGCCCUGUUUCUCCACCUUCAAAAUCAGCAAUAUAACACAUCUCUCUGACCCUUUGUCCCAUCAUCACAUGUCUCUCUCUUACUGCAGCUGGGAAAGAUCUUCUGCUUUUAAUGACUCAUGUGAUUAAAUUGGGCCCACUGGAAUAAUUCAGGAUGAUCUCCUCAUCUCAAGGUCCUUAAUUGCAUUUGCAAAGUCCCUUUUGCCAUGUACGGUAACAUAUUCACAGAUUCUGGGGACUAGAAUGUGGACAUUUUGGUGGGGGGACAGUCAUUAUUUGGCCUAACACAAGCAACUAAAGCCAUAUUUCCUGUUAUCUGAAAUAUAAAAGCAUUUCUCAAUCUUGUAAAGACUCACAUCUCUGGACUCUAUUUCCUUCAAUCUCUGCUUGCAAUCUGGUCAUUUCUUGCCUGAGUUUGCACUUUCUUAUAAUAUUUUGCUAAAUGCAACAAGAAGCAGGCAACACUGGAAACAAUCUAAAUUUCCAUCAACAUUUGAAUGAAUAGACACAUUGUAGUACAUCCAUACAAUAAACUACUAUAUGGCAAUAAAAAGGAAUGGACUAUUUAUACACUCAACAACAUAGAUUAAUCACAAAAUAAUUAUGCUGGAUGAAAGAAUCUAGACAAAAAUAGAGUACAUAUUAUGAGUUCAUUUAUGUAAAAUUCUAAAAAAGGAAGCCAACCUAUAGUGACAGAAAGCAGACCAGUAUUUGCCUGGGGAUGGAUUAUAGGAUGGGUUGAAUUCAAAGGAGCAGGGAAAAGCUAUGGGGGGUGACAGAUAUAUUCAUUAUUUUAAUUGUGGUGAUGAUUUCACAGGUGGAUUCCUAUGUCAAAACUCAUCAGAUUAUAUACUUUAAAUACAUGCAGUUUACUAGUUACGAUAGUGAAGACGUGGAACCAACUUAACUGCCCAUCAACUGUAGACUGAAUAAAGAAAAUGUAGUACAUAUACACCAUGGAAUACUAUGCAGCCAUAAAAAAGAAUGAGAUCGUGUCCUUUGCAGCAAUAUGGAUGGAACUGGAGGGCCAUUAUCCUAAGUAAAUUAAUGUAGGAACAGAAAACCAAACAUCACAUGUUCUCACUUAUAAGUGGGAGCUAAACAUUGAGUAUACAAGGACACCAAGAAGGGAACAAUAGACAUUGAGGUCUAUUUGAGGAUGGAGGGUGGAAGGAGGGUGAGGAUCAAAAAACUACCCAUCAGGUACUACGCUUAUUACCUGGGUGAUGAAAUAAUCUGUACAACAAACCCCUGUGACACACAAUUUAUUCAUGUAACAAACCUGCAUAUGUACCCCUGAACCUAAAAUAAAAGUUGGAGAGAAAAAAAAAGAAAUCUGGAAGCAGAAACACACACAGAGCAUGACGGCUCCAAAGACAACCAGGCAAAAUCUGUUACUUUAUCAACAAAAGUGCAUUAUUUUCAUUCCCUGGUAUUUGUUGCUAAUGUAAAUUUUGUUCAACAACCUGAAUAGAAUUAAGCAAAGCUUUGGGAAUUUUUACCAGGCAGGUACAAAAAUAUGUGUGCUAUUUUUUUGUUCCACAUCUUGAGAGAGCAUGAAAAACAUAAAUAUGUGCAGUUUAUUGAAUAUCAGUUGGACUCAAUAAAGCUAUUUUUAAGGUGUACUAAAAAAUAAAGAGAUACAUUCAUAGUAUUGCAUAUGGGAUUUCACUGAGACAUAAACUCAUGAAGGUUGGGGCCUUUGUUUGGUUCAUUACUGUAUCACCAGAACCUAUGAUAGCACCUGGCACAUAUUAGAGGUUCAAUAUAUCCCAUAUAACUUGUAGAAGGCAGAAGAAUGUCCCUAUCCCCAAGAUGUCCAUGUCCUAAUCCCUAGAACCUGACUAUAUUAUGUUAUAUGGCAAAAGAGAAUUAAGGUUGCUAAUCAGUUGACUUUGUAAAAAGGGAGGUUAUUAGGCCGUAUGAGGUCCAAUCUAAUCACACCAAUCUUUAAUAAAAGUGGAAAGAAGAAGAAGCAGAAUGUAGCUCAGAGAGAUAGGACAUGAGAUGGACAUAACCAACUGUUGUUGGAUUUGAAUACAGAGAAAAGAGGCUAUGAGCCAAGGAAUUCUACAGCCCUUUGAGCUGUUAACAGCUCUGUUUAAAGCCAGUAAAAAGACAGGAACCUAGUCCUCCAACUACAAGGAAUUGAGUUCUGCAAGCAACCAGAAUGAACAGAAACAAAUUUUCCCCUAAAGCCUUCAAAAAGAGAUGCAACCACACUGACAACUUGAUUUUAGCCCAUUGAGACUUGUUUCAGACCUCUGACCUACUGAGGCAAGAUAAGUAAGGUUAGGAGGCCAUACUAACUUGUCCCAUGUGUGAAGCCCCACGGCUCCUUUUACAGUGAAUUCUUUUCACUUGCACCCUCCUGCAUCAGCACUGAAGUCUUUUGCAAGACAAGCAGUCCUGCAGGAUUCUGCCAGGUGGUUACAAGUUCUUGAUACCCUAUACAGCCUGGGAAAGAGAACGAAAGCCCUUUGUUCAUGAUGUAGCUACCCAUCUCCAGCCAAUCAGCACCAAAAGCCCAAGAAGCUAUUAGCUACAAAUUCCUGCCUUGGUUGGGGUGGGUGGAGGUGUGACUGGGAAAUUCUCCAGGGUCUUGCAUACACAGCUAGGCUCAAGGUUUAGCUUAUGGUGACCUUUUCCUCAUUGUAAUAGCAAAAAACACACCACCACGUGGGGAUUUUAUACGCUAAUGAUACAUGGGAUGCGUGUUAGACCAAGUAGCUCAUGUGCUAACCACAGGUCUGCCUUUGCUUACUUGAUCUCACCAGUAUUUUAUUAAUAUGUAUGUACAGUUUCCACAAAGGAAAUUCCCCUUAAGGCACUAACUACUGCCUCUAGCUUUGAGCUAGCUUUGAGCAGCCCACUCUGCCUCUCAGAGUGUACUUUCACUUUGCAAUAAACUCCUUUGCCUAGUCUUAUUUUGGACUCACUCUCAAAUUCUUUUGUGUGGCCCAGAAUCUGAAUCUGGCCCACCAACGACAUUGCAGAAGUGUAAGAGAAUACAUUCGUGUUGUUUAAACAGCUAAGUUUGUGGUAAUUUGUUACAGCAGCAAUAAAAACCUAAUCCAUAACUAAAAGAAGCUAUGUUCUGGUCCCUAGAAGCACCAAAGAAGCUGCAAUGUCCUCGGUCCCCAGUUUAGGGGAAUGGAGUGGAUGUUGAAAGCUUCUGAGGGGAGGAAGAGCCUGAAAGACAUUCUCUAGGAAGGAAAGGGCAAACUGGGAGUGAGUCAGAGCUUUAUGAUUGACUACACUCUUUUAUCAUUCAUAAAGACUGUCAGAGGCAUUCCAACCAGAGCGACGCCAUUUUGAGUGAGAGCUAGGAAAAUGAGGCUGCAACUUGGCGGGGUGCAUUUCCAGAAAUAUAGGUAUUCCUAGCCUCUAGACAUUUAUGGUUAAGGGAAUAGAUUAAUAAUAUUUACUAGUGUGAGCCACUGCAUCCGGAGUAUUACAAAUUUUUUAUUACUUUGUUCGUGGUUUGCCUUCCUCCAACAGAACACAAGCUCCACUGGGAUUUUUGUCUGUUUUGUCACUGCUUUAUUCCCAGGACCCAGAAGAGCACUUAGCAUAAAGUAGAUGCUCAAUGAGUAUUGGUGAAGGCAUGGAUGGAUAUAUAACAUAUGACAGAGCUUGCAGUGUAAAACAGUGGGGAAAAUUAGAGGCUGUGCAUUAGAUGACACUGAGAUAAUUAGUUAACCAUAUGGAAAAAAGGGGAAACAAAUAUAUAUUUUGCUCUAAACACAAAAAUUAAUUCCAGAUAUAUAAAGAUUUACAUAUGAAAGGCAAAUGUCUCAGUUGUUCAGGCCUCUAUGACAAAAAUACCAUAGACUGGGUGGCUUAAAUAACAACCACUUAUUUCUCAUAGUUCUAGAGGUAGGGGAAGUCUGAGCUCAGGGUGCACAGUCAGUUUCAGAUGAAUGUUCUCUUCUGGGUUGCAGACUGCUAACUUCUCAUUGUGUCUUCACAUGGUGGAAGAGACAAGGGAGCUCUUUGGGGUCUCUGUCAUAAGGGCACAAAUCCCAUUCAGUAGUGCUCUGAUCUCAUGACCUAAUCACCUCCCAAAGGCCCCACCUCCAAAUACCAUCACACUGAGGAUUAGGUUUUAACAUGUGAAUUUUAGGAGGGACACAAGCAUUCAGUCUAUAGCAGCUAAACUGAAAAAUAUUUAGUCAAUAAUAUAGAUUAUCUUUGUAAUCUCAAGACAAGGUAGGACUUAUUAAACUAGACCAAGAGUCCAAAACAUAAAGAUUGAUACGUUUAGCUACUUUAGAAUGAAAAAACAAAUGCUUCUCUCUUCUCAAAAGAUGACAUAAAGAGAGAGAAACAACAAGCCAGAAACUCCAAGAAGAUGUUUGUAACACAUAUAACCAACAAGGAAUUAGUGUCCAGAAUAUACAAAAAACAAAUAUUUCCCAUAAAUCUGAAACCAACCCAUUUGUCCCAUAGGACUGAUUAUGUUUUUUUUCUUUUAAUAAACAUAGAAAUUUACCCUACAAGUCUUAAAACUUGAGAAACUUACAUUUGUCUUAUCUGAGUUCCUUUCUCAGGAAAUUGAUGAUCAGGGCUCCCUGGUAGUAUCAGGAAACUGAAACUUACCUUUCACUGCAUCUGCUAAGACACCAGACCCCUCACCCUUCAUGACUGCCUAACUGACCCCAGGCUGCCUGUUGACCAACUCCUCUUCCUUACCCCUCCCUAAUUCCUGUUUUCCCAUAUGUAGUUACCUUUCUUCCCUGCUCUAUAAACCCUUAAUUUUAAUCUGUUGAAAAGAGGAGACAGAGUUAAGACUGAUCUCCAAUCUCCUCGGUUGCAACACCUGAAUAAAGCCUUCUUCCCUCACAAUACUUGUUGUCUCAGUGAUUGGCUUACUGUGCAGUGAGCAACCUAGACCAAACCCUUGGCAUUUUGGUAACAAAUCCAAAAGAAAACUAAAAAUAGCCAAUAGAAGAAAGUAUAAAAAACAUAAAAGACACUAUACAGAAAGAGAAAUACAACUGGCCAAAAAAAAAAAAAGGAAAAAAGAAAGAAAAGAAAAAUGCUCAGCUUCAUUAAUAAUUAGGAAAAUGCACAUUAAAACCAAAUGCGAUAACAUUUCACACACAUCAAAAUGGCAAAAAGUCAAAAGUCUGACAAUUCCAAGUGAAGUUGCAGAUGUGGUUUAAUGGGAAUUUCAUCUGCCACUAAAGGGAAUGUAGAUUAUACAACCCCUGGGAAAUAGUCUCCCCUCACAAAGUAACACUAUAUAUACUGCAACCACAUUCUAAGACUCAGAAAUUUCAUUACUAGUUACAUAUUCUAAAAAGUCUUGCAGGUAUGUGCCAGGGUACAUGUAUGAGAAUGUUCAUAGCAUCAUUGGUCAUAACAGCAAAACUAUGAAGACAAACCAAGUUCUAAGAAUAGUAAAAUGGAGAAGAAAAAAACAUGGGACUUUCAAAUUUGGAAUACCACACAGCAGUGAAAAUGAACAAGCCAAAGCUAUAUGCAUCAAGAUGGUGAAUCUCAGAAAUAAAGACAAGUCACAGAAGAACACAUACAUUACAAUUCCACGUAUACAAAGUUUAAAAAUAGGCAAAACUAGACAAUAUCCUGUUUAGGGAUACAUACAUGUAUCAAGGAAGUAUAAAGAAAAGCUAGGCCUUGGCCUCUCCCUCUCCCUCUCCCCCUUUCCCUUGGAUCUCCCUCUGUUGCAGAGGCUGGACUGUACUGCCAUGAUCUCAGCUUGCUGCAACCUCCCUGCCUUGGGCUCCCGUGAUUCUCCUGCCUUGACCUGCCGAGUGCCUGGGAUUGCAGGCAUGCGCUGCAAUGCCUGACUGGUUUUUGUAUUUUUGGUGGAGACGGAGUUUCGCCGUGUUGACCGGGCUGGUCUCCAGCUCUUGACCUCGAGUGAUCUGCCCGCCUUGGCCUCCCGAGGUGCUGGGAUUGCAGACGGAGUCUCGCUCACUCAGUGCUCAAUGUUGCCCAGGCUGGAGUGCAGUGGCAUGAUCUCAGCUCGCUACAACCUCCACCUCCCAGCCGCCUGCCUUGGCCUCCGAAAGUGCUAAGAUUACAGCCUCUGCCUGGCUGCCACCCCAUCUAGGAAGUGGGGAGCUCCUCUGCCCGGCCGCCCCGUCUGGGAUGUGAGGAGCGCCUCUGCCCGGCCGCCACUCCGUCUGGGAACUGAGGAGCGCCUCUGCCCAGCCGCCCCAUCUGAGAAGUGAGGAGCGCCUCUGCCUGGCAGCUGCCCCGUCUGGGAAGUGAGGAGCAUCUCUGCCUGGCCGCCCAUCGUCUGGGAUGUGAGGAGCACCUCUGCCCACCCGCCCCGUCUGGGAAGUGAGGAGCGCCUCUGCCCGGCUGCCCCGUCUGGGAGGUGUACCCAACAGCUCCGAAGAGACAGCGACCAUCGAGAAUGGGCCAUGAUGACAAUGGCAGUUUUGUGGAAAAGAAAAGGGGGAAAUGUGGGGAAAAGAAAGAGAGAUCAGAUUGUUACUAUGUCUGUGUAGAAAGAAGUAGACACAGGAGACUCCAUUUUGUUCUGUACUGAGAAAAAUUCUUCUGCCUUGGGAUGCUGUUAAUCUAUAACCUUACCCCCGGCCCUGCGCUCUCUGAAACAUGUGCUGUGUCCACUCAGGGUUAAAUGGAUUAAGGUCGGUGCAAGAUGUGCUGUUAAACAGAUGCUUGAAGGCAGCAUGCUCGUUAAGAGUCAUCACCACUCCCUAAUCUCAAGUACCCAGGGACACAAACACUGUGGAAGGCUGCAGGGACCUCUGCCUAGGAAAGCCAGAGACCUUUGUUCACGUGUUUAUCUGCUGACCUUCUCUCCACUAUUAUCCUAUGACCCUGCCACAUCCCCCUUUCCGAGAAACACCCAAGAAUGAUCAAUAAACACUAAAAAAUAAAAAAUAAAUAAAUAAAUAAAUAAAUAAAAAGAAAAGCUAGGAUGGCCGGUGUGGUGGCUUGUCUUUAAUCCUAGAACUAUGGGAGGUUGAGGCAGUAGGAUUGCUUGAGGCCAGGAGUUUGAGACAAGCCUGGGCGACAUAGCUAGACACCAUCUCUACAAAAAUAAUAAUAAGAAGAAAAGUUCACUGGGACCGGGCGCGGUGGCUCACACCUGUAAUACCAGCACUUUGGGAGGCUGAGGUAAGUGGAUCACCUGAGGUCAGGAGUUCAAGACUAGCCUGGCCAACAUGGUGAAACCCCGUCUCAACUAAAAAUACAAAAAUAUUAGCUGGGCGUGGUGGCGGGCACCUGUAAUCCCAGCUACCUUGGGAGGCUGAGGCAGGAGAAUUGUUUGAACCUG
rnacentral:lncRNA from 10 species